GAUGAAGAACGCAGCGAAAUGCGAUAAGUAAUGUGAAUUGCAGAAUUCAGUGAAUCAUCGAAUCUUUAAACGCACAUUGCGCCCAUUAGUAUUCUAGUGGGCAUGCCUGUUCGAGCGUCAUUUCAACCAUCAAGCCCUAUUUGCUUGGCGUUGGGAGACUUGUAGGCCCGGCCUGCAAGCUCCUGAAAUAGAUCGGCGGAGUCGUGGCGACCCUCAGCGUAGUAAUUCUUCUCGCUUUAGGUGUCGGCGCUGGCGUUUAGCCGUUAAACCCCCUAUUUUUUUAGUCUUGACCUCGGAUCAGGUAGGAAUACCCGCUGAACUUAAGCAUAUCAAUAAGCGGAGG
rnacentral:misc_RNA from 1 species